ACAGCACUACUUCAGUUUGUCCCUACUGCUGCCAUUCUGGAAGUGAGAGAUGCACAAGCCAAACUCAGGGCUGUGCCAUCAAAGGAAACCACAUAUGCUCUUGGCCUGGCUAAACAUGGCACGGUUGGCACGUGGAUAAAGAAGGUCACUGUGGAAGCAUGAACAGAAACAGCACAACAUUUUGCAUGCAAAAAAAAAUGAGUCACAGAUACCUUAAGAAUAUAUUACUUAGAGAAGAGAAAAUGUAAACGGAUUACACAUUUGGGAAGGCGCAAGGGGAAUAAAUGGUUAAAGGAACUGAGAUUGGCCCCACAGGGUGGUUGAGUAAUAUAUGGAGUGUUAUU
rnacentral:lncRNA from 10 species